rnacentral:tRNA from 1 species
GUCUUUGUAGUAUAAUUAUUACACUGGUCUUGUAAAUCAGAAAUGGAGAUUUAUACCUCCCUAAGAUA